CCUACGGGUGGCAGCAGUGGGGGAUAUUGCACAAUGGGGGCAACCCUGAUGCAGCGACGCCGCGUGAGCGAUGGAGUACUUCGGUAUGGAAAGCUCUGUCAGCAGGGAAGAGAAUGACGGUACCUGACCAAGAAGCCCCGGAUAAAUUCGUGCCAGCAGCCGCGGCAAUACGUAUGGGGCAGGCGUUAUCCGGAUUUACUGGGUGUAAAGGGAGCGUAGGCGGGAGGGCAAGCCUGAUGUGAAAGCCCGGGGCUCAACCCCGGGACUGCAUUGGGAACCGGCCCGCUCGAGUGCCGGAGGGGCAAGCGGGAUUCCUAGGGUAGCGGUGAAAUGCGUAGAUAUUAGG
rnacentral:rRNA from 1 species